UACGUAGGGGGCUAGCGUUGUCCGGAUUAUUGGGCGUAAAGAGCGUGUAGGCGGCCAGGUAGGUCUGGUGUGAAACUGGAGGCUUAACCUCCAGACGUCGAUGGAAACCGUAUGGCUAGAGUCCGGAAGAGGAGAGUGGAAUUCCUGGUGUAGCGGUGAAAUGCGCAGAUAUCAGGAAGAACACCCGUGGCGAAGGCGGCUCUCUGGGACGGUACUGACGCUGAGACGCGAAAGCGUGGGGAGCGAACAGG
rnacentral:rRNA from 1 species